rnacentral:misc_RNA from 1 species
GAUGAAGAACGCAGCGAAAUGCGAUAAGUAGUGUGAAUUGCAGAAUUCAGUGAAUCAUCGAAUGUUUGAACGCACAUUGCGCCCCUUGGUAUUCCAUGGGGCAUGCCUGUUCGAGCGUCAUUUGUACCUUCAAGCCUUGCUUGGUGUUGGGUGUUUGUCUCGCCUUUGCGUGUAGACUCGCCUUAAAAUAAUUGGCAGCCGGCGUAUUGAUUUCGGAGCGCAGUACAUCUCGCGCUUUGCACUCAUAACGACAGCGUCCAAAAGUACAUUUUACACUCUUGACCUCGGAUCAGGUAGGGAUACCCGCUGAACUUAAGCAUAUCAAUAAGCGGAGGA